rnacentral:misc_RNA from 1 species
UUGAGAUGCUCUCAUAAUAAAAGAGCUGAGAAACAGUAAAUUUUCAGUUGAUUUACAAUUGAUGUGCAGGCAUUUCUGAACACAAGUACAAAACUAUAUCACCUGAAGAAACAAAAGACAGCCACCAACCGCACGUUGCUUCCCUUGGCGAAAGCGAGAUACCUCCCGAACUAGACGGUCAAGUAAGAAGUUUCCCCAAUUAUAUUGAUGGAUGACAUCCAUAUUUGUCAGAAAGUGGAGAAACGACGGACUAACAUCCAGCCUUGCUGUUGGGGAUAAAAGAGUGCCCAACGCAUAGAGGACAAAUGAUCUCUUAAAUUCCUCUCCUGCUUCUGGAGCUUUCAACCGC